rnacentral:rRNA from 1 species
UACGAAGGGGGCUAGCGUUGCUCGGAAUCACUGGGCGUAAAGGGUGCGUAGGCGGGUCUUUAAGUCAGGGGUGAAAUCCUGGAGCUCAACUCCAGAACUGCCUUUGAUACUGAAGAUCUUGAGUUCGGGAGAGGUGAGUGGAACUGCGAGUGUAGAGGUGAAAUUCGUAGAUAUUCGCAAGAACACCAGUGGCGAAGGCGGCUCACUGGCCCGAUACCUGACGCUGAGGCACGAAA